CUUCAUUUCGCCGCCAUGACAGCACGCUUGUAACGUUAUUAACAAAUCCAUGUAAUCCAUGGACAAAUAAAGUUCUUCUAUUUGUUUAUGGAAAAUAUCUGUGUUAGUUGGCUGAUGAUGGGGUAGUUACCCCGAAACAAUUGUCCCUGUUUUAUAAAUAAAUUUCUUGGGGGGCGACUUCGAGUUUGGUUCUCUCCUUCAAAAAUCAUUGAACCACCCCUCUUUGAGAAUGGAUCACAGAUCUCUCUUCAAGUUACAAAUAGAAGUGUUCAGUUAUGCGAAAUUCCUGCUAAUAUAACAUUAACCAAUAAAAACCUAAACUACAAACUCCAGGGGUUAGUGGAAACUAUCGGUGAAGCUAGUGAUGUAGGCCAUUUUAUUGCCUAUUGUAAAAGGCCAAAUGAAAAAUGGGAAAUAUAUGACGAUCUUCAAGACAAAGUGAACACAAACUAUCCCCCGGAAAAAGUUUUAAGAGGUUGUGCCCUACUUGUUUAUCGCUGCUUGUAAAAGUAUAAUAUUUAUAUUAUUUUUUUUAUUGUUUAUGUUAUGUUAAAAUGAAAUGUUUUUUUAAAUAAAGUACUAAUUAUUGUGUUUUUAUUAAACAAUUCCAAUUCA